rnacentral:rRNA from 1 species
UACGGAGGGUGCGAGCGUUGUCCGGAAUCAUUGGGCGUAAAGGGCGCGUAGGUGGCGGGACAAGCGUGCGGUGAAAGCCUGGGGCUCAACCCCGGGUCGGCCGUGCGAACUGUUUUGCUUGAGCACUGUAGAGGCAGGCGGAAUUCCGGGUGUAGCGGUGGAAUGCGUAGAGAUCCGGAAGAACACCGGUGGCGAAGGCGGUUCUCUGGGCAUGUCCUGACGCUGAGGAGCGAAAGUGUGGGGAGCGAACAGG